GACGAACCGUGCGAACGUUAUUCGGAAUCACUGGGCUUAAAGCGCGUGUAGGCGGAUGGGAACGUCGGUAGUUGAAAGCCCCCGGCUCAACCGGGGAAGUGGUGCCGAAACGACCCGUCUGGAGGGACGUAGGGGGACCUGGAACUUCCGGUGGAGCGGUGAAAUGCGUUGAGAUCGGAAGGAACGCCCGUGGCGAAGGCGGCAUCCUGGACCGGUAUUGACACUGAGGCGCGAAAGCCAGGGGAGCAAACGGG
rnacentral:rRNA from 1 species